rnacentral:lncRNA from 1 species
AUAUUUACGACAUAUCAACCUAUUCACUAUUUUCCUAUAAACAUUUUUCUCUUAUUACAUUAAUUGAUAUUUCAAUAAACUUCAUUUUUUAUUAAAUCCCAAAAUAAUAUAAGUGAAUUUCAUUAAAAUUAGAUAUAUUUAUAUGAGAAAUCAUAUUUGUAGAGAGAUCUAAUUUACAAGGGGAGAAUCAGUAAGCUACAAACACGUGUGGGGGCCUGACAGUGUUGAGCAUUAACAUGCUGACUGUACCAAAUAAAAGGGCAACUCAAGCUACAGGAGGGAAUUGUUCGAAAUUUCCUGUUGUAUGCACAGCACAACCUGCAUCUAACAACUUGGCAACUGUAUUGCAAGAAUGUAUGAUUGAAGAGCAGCAGUCUGUUUGGUUGUUUUUGUGGGCAAAAGAUAUUCACAAAGAACUUGUUCCUUCCUAUCUAUGGGCAGCACACAUUAUCAUAACAAGUGAUGCACAAUUAAGUAGAGAUGUUUGCCAAGGGAUGCAUAAAAGUCAUUGAUGAAGAACAACCUGGAAAUUAUAACCAUUGUAACUGUUGGAUAUUGAGGCCAAUGAUUUGUAUUGACAGAAGAAUCACCAUCACACAGUACUAAAUGUGAAUAGUGAUUGUAGUUUGACUUACAGUAUCAUACAUGAUCAGCUGUAAAGUCAUGUUGACUGUUUUAUUGGAUGCAGAAAGGUUCUGCUGACUCAUUUCCAACCAAGGGGUGCUAAUAUCAAUGCCAUCUCAUACUUAUGAGGUAUUAGGCAAAUUCUGUGAUGCAAUUUGCUGGAAACAUCUGUGUCUGCUGUCCUCUAGCAUCUUGCUCCAUCAUGACAAUACCAGACUACAGACAGCCUGAUUGAUGAUAGCAGAGAUGGAAAAACUGCUACAUGAGGUGUAGAAACAUCCACCUACAUUCCGGACUUCACACUCAAUGAAUUUCACCUGUUUGGUCCCCUGAAAACACAUUUGGCAGGCAAUAUUUUGGCAGUGAUGCAGAGAUCAAAUGGAAGGUGUGACUGAAGCUGACAGCAACCAAAAAAAUUCUAUACUGCAGAAUUCUAGGAAUUCAAACAGCACUGGGACAAAUGUGCAAAUGCAGGACAGAUUAUAUGUGAAAAAUGAACAAUGGUAUCAGGUAGGUAUCUCUUAUGAUUUCCAUGGUAUCAAUUUUUUUUUUUAACUUACUCUCCAUCAUAUAUCCUUUAAACAUUUUUGAAUGUUUAAGGAUAUCCUAAUAGUGUUUAUUAUUUGACACCAGAAAAAUAAAUGCUAUUAGUUCUUUGUUAUUAGAAUAUUGUUUAUCAUCUUCCCUAUUUAUGAUUUAAUAUAAAUGUUAUUAAAAAAUAAUGUAAAUUAAAGAAUAGGUAUACAUGCAAUACACAGGUGUUCCACAAUUCAUGUAAAUUCUACUUUGUGAAAAAAUUUUAGUCAAAAUAUUUUUU